rnacentral:lncRNA from 1 species
UAAAAAGAAAAAUUAAUGAACUAACCUAAAAUGACAGCAAAUUAAUUAUGGACCUAACUUCAUUUAGCCAAGCAAUUAAACUGCUAAUGAAACAUUUAAGCUUAUUAAUCACAGAAACUAAAACAACAAAACAAAUGGAUCAAGAAACUUAUAUAGUUCAAUUAACAGAAGAACAGAAAAAAGACCUAGUUCGAACCUAGUGCACCCACAUGAAUAUUUGAUCAACCCAAGGGAAAAUGGAUGGGGAGGAAGAUGAACCAGUUGAAAGGAAAAUCACAUAGGAUAAAGAGGAACUUACCCUAGUCAUGCUCAAACAAACGGAUACAGAAACUCUACCAAACUUAUGUCGAAUUCGUUGUUAUUUGUCAAGAACAACUGAAUCGACAUCAAUUUUGUCGAAUCAGGCUCUCCAACUUUGCGAGAAAACAGUGCGUGCCCCUAGGCUUGAAGGGAAAUGAUUUUGAACUUUUGAUUUGGACUUCAUAUUUAAGAUUUGAUGAGACCAAAGCGUGUUCGAAAGGAAAAGAGUUAGGAUUAGAAAGAGGGAGUGAGGGGAUAUCAGAGUAUUAAAUUGGUAAGAUUAGUGAUGGCGCCGCCACCCCAAGGCGGUAUAAAAAAGGGCGGCGGGCUAGGGUUUGAGGGGGGAGGGGGGAUUAGUCUUUGAGAGAGAUGGAGGAGACGAGAUGGGGGGUGGAUUUUCAGACCGUUAUAUACUAAUGAUAUCCCACGUCAUAGUCGUCAGAUCAUCCGGCUAGGAUUAAUCUCACCCUGGACGAUGUCGUUUGGGAGGUGAGGGGAGAUGGACCAGGUUAGAAUGGGGUUUGGGCCGGUUUUUUGGACGGGUUACGGGUAAAAGGGGUUUGGACUUGGGAAAACUAAUUUGAAAUGGCCCA